AUCCAGCUGACGAGACCAGAUAUGACGAAAUGCGCAUCCUGGAU
rfam:Trichobilharzia regenti genome assembly, scaffold: TRE_scaffold0000992